rnacentral:rRNA from 1 species
CACGUAGGGACCAAGCGUUGUCCGGAUUUAUUGGGCGUAAAGAGCUCGUAGGCGGUCGUGUAAGUCGGGUGUGAAAUCUCCAGGCUCAACUUGGAGGGGCCACCCGAUACUGCUCGACUCGAGUCCGGUAGGGGAGUGGGGAAUUCCUGGUGUAGCGGUGAAAUGCGCAGAUAUCAGGAGGAACACCGGUGGCGAAGGCGCCACUCUGGGCCGGUACUGACGCUGAGGAGCGAAAGCGUGGGUAGCAAACAGG